CUCGCUGCUACCCAGGACCAGCCUUUACCCAAGUUCCCUGGUUUUUAAAGCUGCUGCCUCCUGCCUCUUUAUUUUGUGUCUCCUGCCCUCCGCAUUCGGGGAGCGUUUCCGAUUUCUCCAGGGAGGCUGGCGGACAAUCACCACCUGGGAGUGUUUAUUCUGUCAUUUUUAUCCCACGUGGGAUUCCCGUGACCUCCUGCAACCGAGAUGUGGAGGGUUCCACCCCACAGAGACCCCGCCUGCUGCCCUGCGCCAUCGGCAUCUGUCCUGAUGCCUGGCAACCGUGCUGUUUUCCACCUCCAUAGUUCUGUCCUUUCAAGAAUGACAGGUUAUUCCAAAGCAUCUCUUAACUUUUUCAACACUGGACAUAAGGUAGUAGGAUUUCACCUUACAAGACCAAGUCUAAGAAGUUUCGUCUUGUAAACAACGAUUCACCGGCAAAGCUGACCGUCUCCUGGGAUGAGUUCUCUCCUGCAUUACAAACAUAAAACGUGUCCUGAUCCCAUCUCAAUGCCACGAACGCUUGUGUCCGAUGACUUACUGACCCUCUCAGCCUUUCUCAUACUGAAUUUGAAAUCUUUCCAGGGUAGAAAGGUGUUCGAGCAGGGUCGCAGCCGGCCCAGCAGGCCAAGGCCCGCACCCCUGCUCUGAGAACUCUGCAGGGCACUGGCAGGACCCAGGCCCUGACCGUGGUGGGUUUUUAUUGGCACCAGCCCACGUCUCAUGUCGCUCCCUGUCACCUGCAGGGAGCCUUCCCCACAUGAGUGCACAAUGGGAUUUUGUAUUUUUGUGACCCUUAAGAUAGUAAAUAUAUUUUUUGUUUUAA